rnacentral:tRNA from 1 species
UGAGCCAUCAAAGCCAAGGUAGAAGCCAGAGAGCUCGAGAGAGCAGGAUGGAGGAAGCCAAGGAUGUUGUGAUGGACUCGUUUUCAGUUCCUAAACUUUGUCUAGGUCACCCCACCAAGGGUUUUGCCAGACAUCCAGUGUUUCGGAUCCCGCCAGGGAGAGGAAGCCAUGGGUGAUUGGAGGAACCACUGUCAGAGUGAUUGUUCCUGGGCCAUUAGCUCAGGUGGUUAGAGCGCACCCCUGAUAAGGGUGAGGUCCCUGGUUCAAGUCCAGGAUGGCCCAUUCGUGUUUGGGGGUUUAGCUCAGUUGGUAGAGCGCCUGCUUUGCAAGCAGGAUGUCAGCGGUUCGAGUCCGCUAACCUCCAUCCAGCUAGGUUAAGACCACAACAUGAAGCUGCAUCAGGAGGAAUUCUGAUGGGUGAAGUGACCGGACAUGUUCAGCUGAGGACUCCAGCCUCCUUUCAUUCCCAAAGAAUGGAUUCAUCGUAUUAGAUGAGUUUCAUUUUGUGAUGGUUGAAAGGAAGCUGGACUCGCU